GCAACAGCUCAACCUGCAGAUCAGUUGCCAACACAAUAGGCACCAUGCUCCCAGCAUUCACUUGGGUCACCUCCCCCCAACCCUAACCUUUACUUGUGUAACGUCCUUUUCCAUAUAAAUAAGGCGAACACCCCUUCCUCACUCUCUCUUUCCCCUCUUCUCUCUCUCUCUCUCUCUCUCUCUCUCUCUCUCUCUCUCUCUCUCUCUCUCUCUCUCUGCUACUACUUUCUCUCUCCCUUCCAAUCAAACCUCUUCCAUGUGGAACUGCUUUGGCCUAGUGUGCUGUUGAGAUUCGACCUGCCAUUCUAACACAUUACUAAGGACAAGAGUGUCCACGUGAGAAGCACAGAUAGAAGCAUGCAUGGUGUUCCCCUAGGCUCUCCGACAGACCCAACAUGAGGCACAAGAAGCUAGGAUGACAGGAAUGUAC
rnacentral:lncRNA from 1 species